CCGAGUUUACAACUCCCAAACCCCUGUGAACAUACCUAUCGUUGCUUCGGCGGAUCCGCCCUCGCUCCUCGGGCCGAUCAGGCCCGCCAGAGGACCCAAAAACUCUUGUAUUUGCUCUAGGAUCUACUUCUGAGUGAAUACACAAAUAAAUUA
rnacentral:misc_RNA from 1 species